rnacentral:rRNA from 1 species
GAUGAACGCUGGCGGCGUGCUUAAUACAUGCAAGUCGAACGAUGAGGGAUGGAAGUUUGUUUCUCUCGAUCUUUGUGGCGAAGGGGAGUGACACGCGUAAUAACUCUGUGCUUCAGGGGGGGAACAAUGGUGGACACUACCUCAUAUACCGCAACCGUACUAAUCUCGGCAUCGAUGCUUAAAAGAAGGUGGUGUACCACUGUCAGCUAUCACUGCAGUAUGUGAUCGCGUCGGUUUAGCUAGGUGGCGGGGUAACGGCCCACCAAGGCGAUGAUAAGUAGCCGGUCUGAGAGGAUGAACGGCCACAUUGGGACUGAGACACGGCCCAGACUCCUACGGGAGGCAGCAGUAGGGAAUCUUCCGCAAUGGACGAAAGUCUGACGGAGCAACGCCGCGUGAGUGAUGACGGCCUUCGGGUUGUAAAGCUCUGUUAUACGGGACGAAAGGCCUUCUUGCUAAUAAGGUGAAGGAUUGACGGUACCGGAAUAGAAAGCCACGGCUAACUACGUG